GGGCACUGUAAAAUUUCCCUGUAUGAGAGUCCAACUUCUGUAUUUCCAAGGACCAAAGUGCAGACAAAGUACAAGUUACCUGCCACUUGAUACAAUGACAUGGCUCUAUCUUCUGUUUACAAUUCCUUUUGCAAAUGUUAUUGAGGUUACUAUGUUUAAUGCACCUGUUCUCCUGUGACUGAAAUAUGUGGUAGAAGAAGGGAAAAUUUAUGAAAAUGAUGUUUG
rnacentral:lncRNA from 1 species